rnacentral:rRNA from 1 species
CACGUAGGGUGCGAGCGUUGUCCGGAAUUAUUGGGCGUAAAGAGCUCGUAGGCGGUGUGUCGCGUCGGCCGUGAAAACCUGCAGCUUAACUGUGGGCUUGCGGUCGAUACGGGCAUCACUGGAGUUCGGCAGGGGAGACUGGAAUUCCUGGUGUAGCGGUGAAAUGCGCAGAUAUCAGGAAGAACACCCGUGGCGAAGGCGGCUCUCUGGAACGCAACUGACGCUGAGACGCGAAAGCGUGGGGAGCGAACAGG